rnacentral:rRNA from 1 species
UCCGUAGGCGGUGUGGUAAGUCGAUAGUGAAAUCUCUGGGCUUAACCCAGAGGCUGCUAACGAAACUGCCAUGCUAGAGUGUGAGAGAGGCGAGUGGAAUUACGGGUGUAGCGGUGAAAUGCGUAGAUAUCUGCAGGAACAUCCGAGGCGAAAGCGGCUCGCUGGAUCGCAACUGACGCUGAGGGACGAAAGCUAGGGGAGCAAACAGGAUUAGAUACCCUGGUAGUCCUAGCCCUAAACGAUCAGGACUGGGCGUGGGCCUCGUACGGGGCUCGUGCCGCAGCUAACGCGUUAAGUCCUGCGCCUGGGGAGUACGGUCGCAAGGCUAGAA